CCUACGGGCGGCAGCAGUGGGGAAUAUUGGGCAAUGGGCGCAAGCCUGACCCAGCAAAGCCGCGUGAAGGAAGAAGGCUCUAGGGUUGUAAACUUCUUUUUAGAGGGAAGAGCAGAAGACGGUACCUCUUGAAUAAGCCACGGCUAACUACGUGCCAGCAGCCGAGGUAAUACGGAGGUGGCAAGUGUUGUCCGGAUUUACUGGGUGUAAAGGGCGUGCAGCCGGGAAGACAAGUCAGAUGUGAAAGCCCGCGGCUCAACCACGGAACUGCAUUUGAAACUGUUUUUCUUGAGUACCGGAGAGGUCAUCGGAAUUCCUGGUGUAGCGGUGAAAUGCGUAGAUAUAAGGAAGAACACCAGUGGCGAAGGCGGAUGACUGGACGGCAACUGACGGUGAGGCGCGAAAGCGUGGGGAUCAAACAGGAUUAGAUACCCUUGUAGUC
rnacentral:rRNA from 1 species